rnacentral:lncRNA from 1 species
UCCUGCCAUAAGUAGUAGAAAGUGCCCAGGAUCCAGGCUACGGUCAGGAUGGCGAUGGCAUUGGCGCGGAUCUUCCUCAUGACAACCCUGAAAUAUCAUCGUCAGCAUUAUUUCAUCGGAAAGAAGGGCAGCAAGAGAGGCCGGAUGAUUCUCCCAAGGCCACACAGCUAAUUAGUGGGCAGAGCCCAGUCUAGAAGCCAUCUCACCAUCUGACACCUUUCGACAAAGUGCAAAACGCGGUGGUGAGAGACGAGGACACAGACAUUAAGAUUCCGCUCCAGCCCUAGAGGCACUGAGAAUCAGAACGUGAACUACUCUUCACUCCAGGCAGAAAGCAAGAGGCUUGGAUGAGUUUUAGGAAACCAGCACAGUGUCGGGCACAGAGCGCUCAAUGAAUAGAUGUGUAACAACAAAGUAGGGAUCCAACAGAGGAAGAAAUAAUUUAUUGUAAGGUGGCCUUUGGGAAAGCUCUCAGAAAGGUGGAUGAAUCACUUAAGAUGCUCCUUGGGAAUCAGGCUCCACAGGCCUCUCAGGUCAACCAAGAAAAUGUAAGGGAACUACCCUCCUGGUGCCCCCAUUUUCACACAUCUCUCAGUUGCCUUUGGAUGUGGGAUUCGAAGACAUCACAUCACCUAUCACCUCCUGGCACCUUGGCUACAGUCUGUGGUCUUCGUUUCAGAUUGUAAUCCCAGGAAUGGACUCCAGCAGCAUCACAGAAUCAAAGCAACACCUAAGGAAUUCACUGUUUCUUCACAUACUUUGAACUGUGAAAACAAGAGUCAUCAUAAUAGCUGCAGUUUACUCAGUACCUACCAGGUACUGUCACCUAUACUGUCUCUAAAGCCCCUACAACCCUGAGCUAAGGAUGAUCAUAUCCCCAACUGCAGAUGAUGACACUGAAGCUCAACGGCUACUCAACUUGCCUGGAAUCCUACAGCAGGCCUCUCUG